rnacentral:rRNA from 1 species
GACGAACGCUGGCGGCGUGCUUAACACAUGCAAGUCGAACGGUAAGGCCCUGCUUUUGUGGGGUGCUCGAGUGGCGAACGGGUGAGUAACACGUGAGUAACCUGCCCUUGACUUUGGGAUAACUUCAGGAAACUGGGGCUAAUACCGGAUAGGAGCUCCUGCGGCAUGGUGGGGGUUGGAAAGUUUCGGCGGUUGGGGAUGGACGCGCGGCUUGUCAGCCUGUUGGUGGGGUAGUGGCUUACCAAGGCUUUGACGGGUAGCCGGCCUGAGAGGGUGACCGGCCACAUUGGGACUGAGAUACGGCCCAGACUCCUGCGGGAGGCAGCAGUGGGGAAUAUUGCACAAUGGGCGGAAGCCUGAUGCAGCAACGCCGCGUGCGGGAUGACGGCCUUCGGGUUGUAAACCGCUUUCGCCUGUGACGAAGCGUGAGUGACGGUAAUGGGUAAAGAAGCACCGGCUAACUACGUG